GCGGGGUUGGCAGAUCAGCUAUGCAUCCGCCUGCAGAGCGGAAUAGAAGGGUGCAAUUCCCUUACCCCGCU
rnacentral:tRNA from 1 species